rnacentral:rRNA from 1 species
AUACGUAGGGGGCGAGCGUUGUCCGGAAUGAUUGGGCGUAAAGGGCGCGUAGGCGGCUUGUUAAGUCUGGAGUGGAAGUCCUCUUUUCAAGGGAGGAAUUGCUUUGGAAACUGGCGGGCUCGAGUGCAGGAGAGGUUAUCGGAAUUCCCGGUGGAGCGGUGAAAUGCGUAGAGAUCGGGAGGAACACCAGUGGCGAAGGCGGGUAACUGGACUGCAACUGACGCUGAGGCGCGAAAGUGUGGGGAGCAAACAGGAUUAGAUACCCUGGUAGUCCACACUGUAAACGAUGAGUGCUAGGUGUAGGAGGUAUCGACCCCUUCUGUGCCGGAGUAAACGCAAUAAGCACUCCGCCUGGGGAGUACGGUCGCAAGAUUAAAACUCAAAGGAAUUGACGGGG